rnacentral:rRNA from 1 species
UACGUAGGUGGCAAGCGUUGUCCGGAAUUUUUGGGCGUAAAGCGCGCUCAGGCGGCCUUUUAAGUCUGAUGUGAAAGCCCACGGCUCAACCGUGGAAGGUCAUUGGAAACUGAAAGGCUUGAGUACAGAAGAGGAAAGCGGAAUUCCACGUGUAGCGGUGAAAUGCGUAGAGAUGUGGAGGAACACCAGUGGCGAAGGCGGCUUUCUGGUCUGUAACUGACGCUGAGGCGCGAAAGCGUGGGGAGCGAACAGG